rnacentral:lncRNA from 1 species
GACCGCAUCCUCUCACCCCUCUCCUUUUCUGCCACCUUGGCUGGGAAGUGGAGGAGUUCUGACUCACAGCCCAAAGUCCUGUCUACACCGGAUGCCAAGAGAAGAACCCGGCAUACAGCAGACGGAAGUCUUGUGGGACGUAUCCUGUGGCUGAACCUCUUCCCAUCCAGCAGCAUGGGAACCUCUUUCCAUCUUCUUUCUCAUGAAGAAAACCAAAAACAAGGAUUUCCACUUCUCGGAGCAAGUCUUUACUCCACUCUUCUAAUCCACUGUGUCCUGGACCCCACCCAUAUGGGGCCAUCCUCCUGUGCCCAGCACCAACUCCGUCCCAGGGACCUUGGCUGCAAUCACCUUCCUCUCUCACAAUUCACAAUUUUCUGGAUUUUUUCCUGGUGUCGUUUCCACUGACUCCUCACCAAAGCUCAUCUCUCUCAUGCUUCCCAGCCCUUGAUCUGGACAUCAUAAGGCUGUAGAAAGAUCCUAGGAUAGAGACCGAGAAAGCUGAGUUCUAGAACUUUCCAUCAACCAAAAGCAUUAUCUUUAACAAUAAAAAGAUUUGCAGGUUU